AUGGAGGCGGCUCCACCGCAGCCUCUCAAGCCGCGGCGGCGUGAUGAGCAUGUCCUUCCUUCCUCCCAGCCGCUGCUGGCAUCAAUGGAAUCCACAGGCCAGCUGCCUCACUCGGCACCGACGACUGUGGCGGCGGCAGCACCCUCCGGGUUAGAAAUGGCUGCCCUAAGCCUUGUGGUGACUCCCCGCGGCGUGAUGGCGAUGGCCUUUCGGCCGGCUCGCGUGCACGACGUCAGUGGUUUCCGGUGGCUAUGGGUUACCACGCAAGAACAGGAUAAGGAAAGGAAUUGGGGAAAAUCUUAUCCUUUGGCAUCUUUGCAAUUGAUCCUUCCGGUUUCAGUUAUUCAUGCCAUCAGGCUCUUUGUACUUUGGAGUUAA
rnacentral:rRNA from 1 species